AUUCCAUUCUCUGUUUUUCCCAGUUACGCAGAGAGUGGGAAUUGGGGUUUUUCUGGGAUUUCAUUCCCUGUUUUCCCAGUUAUGCAAAAGCUGGGAAUUGGGCUUUAUCCAGGAUUUAUCUGGGAUUCCAUUCCCUGGGAUUCCAUUCCCUGUUUUUCCAGUAGUUCCAAGGCUGGGAAUGAGGAUUCAUCCAGGAUUUAUCCGGGAUUUCUCCAGGAUUCCAUUCCCUGUUUUUUCCAGUUGUUCCAAGGGCAGGAAUGGGGAUUUAUCCGGGAUUUAUCUGAGAUUUAUCCGGGAUUUAUCCAGGAUUCCAUUCCCUGUUUUCCCAGUUGUUCCAAGGCUGGGAAUUGGGGCUUUAUCCCAGAUUCCAUUCCCUGUUUUCCCAGUUGUUCCAAGGGCAGGAAUGGGGAUUUAUCCAGGAUUUAUCCAGGAUUUAUCUGGGAUUCCAUUCCCUGCUUUCCCAGCUGUUCCAAGGCUGGGAAUUGGGAUUUAUCCCAGAUUCCAUCCCCUGCUUUCCCAGCUGUUCCCAGUGCAGGCAAUGAGGAUUCAUCCAGCAUUUCUCCGGGAUUUCUCCAGGAUUCCAUCCCCUGCUUUUUUCCAACCCUGCAAAGGGUGGGAAUCGCAGCCGCCUGGGCUCAAUUCCUGGAAAAACGCCCUGGGAAUGUGGGGGAAAAAUCUGGGAGACGAUCCCAGCCCGUCAGCAGGGACGGCAACGGGGGGGUGCCGAGGGGGGGAUGGACUUGGAUUGGCCGAGCCUCGAGGUCUUUCCCAACGGAAAGAAUUCCAGGAUUCCAGAUGGGGCCGCCUCGGGGAUUAUUGGGGCUGGGCUGGGGGGGCUCGGAAUUCCCAGCUGGAAUUCUUUUCCCAGGAAUUUCGGCCGCAGGUGAGGACGGAGCUCUUGGAGGAGGUUGGGGAUGGGGGAGGGGGGGGAGGUUGAGGGGGUGUUUGGAUGGAUUCCCAACAUUCCCGGAGUGGUUUUUUUUUUUUCCUGGAUCCAGCACAUUCCAGUAG
rnacentral:lncRNA from 1 species